rnacentral:rRNA from 1 species
UACGUAGGGUGCAAGCGUUGUCCGGAAUUAUUGGGCGUAAAGAGCUCGUAGGCGGUCUGUUGCGUCGGCUGUGAAAACCCGGGGCUCAACCCCGGGCCUGCAGCCGAUACGGGCAGACUAGAGUUCGGCAGGGGAGACUGGAAUUCCUGGUGUAGCGGUGAAAUGCGCAGAUAUCGGGAGGAACACCAAUGGCGAAGGCAGCUUGCUGGGACGGUACUGACGCUGAGGCGCGAAAGCGUGGGGAGCAAACAGG